rnacentral:rRNA from 1 species
GAUGAACGCUGGCGGCGUGCCUAAUACAUGCAAGUCGAGCGAACGGACGAGAAGCUUGCUUCUCUGAUGUUAGCGGCGGACGGGUGAGUAACACGUGGAUAACCUACCUAUAAGACUGGGAUAACUUCGGGAAACCGGAGCUAAUACCAGAUAAUAUUUUGAACCGCAUGGUUCAAAAGUGAAAGACGGUCUUGCUGCCACUUAUAGAUGGAUCCGCGCUGCAUUAGCUAGUUGGUAAGGUAACGGCUUACCAAGGCAACGAUGCAUAGCCGACCUGAGAGGGUGAUCGGCCACACUGGAACUGAGACACGGUCCAGACUCCUACGGGAGGCAGCAGUAGGGAAUCUUCCGCAAUGGGCGAAAGCCUGACGGAGCAACGCCGCGUGAGUGAUGAAGGUCUUCGGAUCGUAAAACUCUGUUAUUAGGGAAGAACAUAUGUGUAAGUAACUGUGCACAUCUUGACGGUACCUAAUCAGAAAGCCACGGCUAACUCCGUG